UGGGGAAUAUUGGACAAUGGGGGAAACCCUGAUCCAGCAAUGCCGCGUGAGUGAAGAAGGCCUUAGGGUUGUAAAGCUCUUUCGCCCGCGACGAUGAUGACGGUAGCGGGAGAAGAAGCCCCGGCUAAUUCCGUGCCAGCAGCCGCGGUAAUACGGAAGGGGCGAGCGUUGUUCGGAAUCACUGGGCGUAAAGCGCGCGUAGGCGGCUUGGCAAGUGCGGCGUGAAAGUCCUGGGCUCAACCUGGGGACGGCGCUGCGGACUGCCUGGCUGGAGUCCGGAAGAGGGUGGUGGAAUUCCGAGUGUAGAGGUGAAAUUCGUAGAUAUUCGGAGGAACACCGGUGGCGAAGGCGGCCACCUGGUCCGGCACUGACGCUCAAGCGCGAAAGCGUGGGGAGCAAACAGGAUUAGAUACCCUGGUAGUCCACGCCGUAAACGAUGGGUGCUAGAUGUCGGGGGGCUUGCCCUUCGGUGUCGGAGCUAACGCGUU
rnacentral:rRNA from 1 species